rnacentral:tRNA from 3 species
GCCCGCCUAGCCCAAUUGGCACGAGGCGACGAGCUCAAACCUCGGAUGGUCCCGGUUCGAGUCCGGGGGCGGGCA